rnacentral:rRNA from 1 species
UACGGAAGGCAGCAGUAGGGAAUAUUGGGCAAUGGGCGAGAGCCUGACCCAGCCAUGCCGCGUGCAGGAAGAAGGCUUUCUGAGUCGUAAACUGCUUUUGACAGGGAAGAAUAAGGUGUACGUGUACACUGAUGACGGUACCUGCAGAAUAAGCACCGGCUAACUCCGUGCCAGCAGCCGCGGUAAUACGGAGGGUGCGAGCGUUGUCCGGAUUUAUUGGGUUUUAAAGGGUGCGUAGGCGGCUUUUUUAAGUCUGGGGUGAAAGCCCGCUGCUCAACAGCGGAACUGCCCUGGAUACUGGAGAGCUUGAGUACAGACGAGGUUGGCGGAAUGGACUGAGUAGCGGUGAAAUGCAUAGAUACAGUCCAGAACCCGAUUGCGAAGGCAGCUGACUAGGCUGUUACUGACGCUGAGGCACGAAAGCGUGGGGAGCGGAACAGGAAUUAAGGAUACC